GGAGAGGGAUGAUGACAAAGAGAGUUUUGUCAUCGAUGGGCAAGCUCUGGGAGCCUGACCUGGCCUUCCUGGGGGAAGGCCUUUAGAUCGGAAAGGAUUACCAUGGCCGCAGCCAGUCACAGCUUUCCCUUGCUCAUUUGGGAUCCGGGGAAAACGACUUCAUCUAUUCUCUAAUAAGUUAACAGGGGCGCCUGGGUGGCUCAGUCGGUUAAGCAUCCAACUCUCGAUUUCAGCUCAGGUCACGAUCUCACAGUUUGUGGGAUCGAACCCCGCAUCACGCUCUUUGCUGAUAGCUCAGAGCCCAGGUGGGAUCUGUUCUCUCCCCCCCCCUCUGCCUUUCUUGCUCCUGUACUUUCACUGUCUCUCUCUCUCUCUCUAAGUAAAUAAACAGUAAAAAAGAAAAAAAGAAAAUAAUGGAGUAACAAGCAUGCCCACUUUUUCAAGCUAAAGAACAAGAUAAAGGAGUUAUGCAAAGCACUUUAUAGUUUCAUUUCCUCCUGUUAGAGUAAUAAGGAUAAAUGAUUUCUGGAGCGACACUUCCAAGGCUGUGGGUACCGUGAUGGCGAACAUUGGAGGAGUCAUAAGUUCCUGUCUUUCCCAGGGGAAAGCAGACGUGUCAUGUGCCAAAAAUCCCCGAAGCCCGAGAUGCAGGAUUUUCCAAGUGGCUCCUGGAGCCAGUAGAGACUCUUAUUCCCAUUUUACAGAUAAGGAAAUUGGGGCCCAGUGAGGGUCAUUGGUUUGCCCAAGGUCACACGUGUAAUAAUGCAGUCUGCCUCCAGAAUCUGUGCUAUUCUGCCUCCGAACAAGAUGACUGAUGAGCGAUUCCAUUUCAGGCUCUCUUGGCUGGGCUGCGGGGAGGACUGUCGUGGUUCACAUGCGAAGAGCGAUGCCCAGAUGAAUCUCACACUUCUCUGCAUCAGGGAGGUGGCCCAUUCAUGUAGCCAGAAGCUCCCCAUGGUCUCCUUGGAACUGGACCACGGUAGCCCCAGAGCCAGGCAGGAGAGGUUGGGGGCUGUCUGGCCGUGAUAUUAUAAAACCAGGCGUCUGUGUCAGCUUUGAUGCGGUGGAACAUGCUGGAACAUGAAAAGGCGUAAUUACUGCUGUGGCCAUUGGAAUUGCUAACGAGAUCCUGACAUUUUCAAAUCGGACCCAUUUCUCAGUGAUCCAGAAGUGAGCCCUGCAGCUGUGUGGGCUGCAUGUGAAUGAGGCAGCUCCCAGCUCAGGGGGGAAGGAAGGAGAGAGGGUGGGCGGGGAUGAGUUCUAUUCUUUGAGCUGAACCCCGGCGACAGGAGCUGAGGCUUGGGACCGGAUGGGACCUGAUGGGACUGACCCUCUGUCUCAAAGCUGCCUCCUGCCACCCGCAAGGGAGGACGUUUAUUCUGGGCUUUUGGGUCAUUGUUUUCCGAUUUAGGGUGGCCAAUUCAGCAAGUGGUUCAAGGAAGACUCACUAUGUGUCCUGCGCGCUGGGGGGACAGCAGUGACCGAGGUCUCCUCCCCACCCCCCACCCGCUGCAACCAUGCUUUCUCUCCCUCAUCCUGUAAGUGCCGGAGCCACCGCUGGAAUUUGCUAGAAAUGCAGAUCCUCGGGCUCCGGCCCCCCGCACACUUACGGAGUCUGGAACUUGGGGGGUGGGGACCCACGGACCUGUGUCAAGGAGCCCUCUGGUGAUGCUCAUGCACCUGUUGUUGGGGAGCCCCUGCCUUUAUCUUCCUCUGCCUGUCCUGGGGCUUCCAGGUUAAAAUGCAGACCCCUGGCCCGCCUCUCGUGGGGUGAGGUACAAGCGGAAGAAGCUGGGGUGGCUGCUGUCCCUGAGCUGCCUGGGUCCCACACUCCUGCUCUGUAAGCGGUUUCCGGCUGCUCUGAAAGCCUGGGGGGGGGGGUGCUGGAAACCUCA
ensembl:lncRNA